GGGUAUUAACUCGAUCAUUGCUACGAUUCGAUGUCCGAUCGAUUGAAACUAUCCAACAGAUGUUUAAGUGCUGCCCACAUUAGGGUUAUACUUUGUCAUUCGUCGUGAUUUCGACUUGAAUGUUUGAGUGCUGUCCAAACUCGGGCUAUACUCUGUCAUUCGUUGUGAAUCCGCUGAAUUUUUAAGUAUCGCACUUUGUCAUUUGUUGUGAGGGUAUUAAUCUCGUGAGUUCAUCGUAAAUGCUGUAUUAGUUAAUUACCUAGUUUCGUGUGCAUUAUUAUUUAAACUAGGUUACCAGGCUUAUCCAUAGGAUAAACUUCACCCCAUACACUUACAAUCAAAGUAGAUGUUAAUUCUCAGAAGAAAAUGAAUCAGGAAGCUUGUUAAAUCAAUACUGCAUGCUUAUAAUGUAAUUACAGUAGAUUGGAGUAAGAAUUGGAUCCGACACUGAAGGACUUCAAGAAGUGGCUUAUUAAUUAAAUCAAAUUAAGAAAUAUUGUUUAUUAAAAUCUACCUUUGUAAAACAUGGAAUUUAUUCCAUCUAUUUAAAUAAAAUCCGGUGUUUCUAAACUCUGAUAGUUUUCCUAACUCACGGUCCUGAUGAAAUUUCCGCUGCAAAUGUUUUCAAAAAUAAACUACCGGUACCACGGGGCUGCUCACGGCUCUCGAUUCCGUCCAGGGUGGGUCGGGGGUCGUGACAAAAAAAGAAGAAGUUUCAACCAAUAAACCAAUAAGAAUGAUUCAUUCUACUUCAUUUAAUAUUUGCAUUUAAUUUUAAUAUAGUGGAAGGUUCAAAUGAGAAGAAAAAAAAUUGUAAGAAUAAAAAGAAUAAGUUUUAAAUCAAUAGAAAUGCUCAAUUUUACUUCAUUUAAUAUGUGUAUUUAAUGUUAUUAAUAAGCCAUAUAGGUAUAUUUCUAAUUGUAAUUAAUUAGCUAACUAACUAAAAUUGUAACUCACUUUUAAAUAUAUUCUUUCAAGAUAAAAUAAUUUAGGAUGAAGGACAAUUUUCGACAUGUGUAGGAUAAAUUUUAGUAUGUGUAUGAUAAAUUCUUAAAUGUGUAUGAUAAAUUUAGAUAUGCGUAGGGUAAAUUUCGGUAAGUGUAAGAUAUAUGUAGGAUAAAUUUUGAAAUAUGUAGGAUAAAAUGUUUUUUGCUUUAUUAAUGAGAGAUAACAUAAUUAAUGGGGGGAGUUAUAAACUAUUUAAUGUUUUAUCAUUAUGCAGUUUCUUCUUUUUCUUCUCACAUUAAAUUUUCUUCUCAAAUGAACCUUACCUAAUAAAAAUCAUGAUAUCUUGUGAGUCAUCAUCUUAGAAUAAAUGUGAAAACCGUAAUUGUUGAUAGUUGAUAGGUACCACUGCAAAUUUAAAAACAAAUAUGUAUCUAGAAUUAAAGGGCACACCUUUUCCUUUUUAUGAAAAUAAAUUCGGAAUUGGUGGCGCCCGAAAAAAUUCCUUCAUAUCAUAAUAAGUGCUUAAAAGAAAUAUAGUAUAUGUAGCCUAUGUGUCACAUGUCGGAUUGCGGCCGGAUUGAACCACCACUAGAAGGUUGCUAAAUAUACUGUAUUGGCUGAAGCUUACGUGUCACAUAUUGAGUUGCAACUUAGCUGAAACACCACUGAGUGAAGUUGUAUAUGAGAAACAAUAUCAUCAAUUCCAUAGAAUGUUUAAUUUUAAAUACAUGUAGGUUUUUGUUUGAUGUGGUAGGAAAAUCUAAAUAAUUAAACUUGUGCCUUAAUAGUUUGAUACGAGAUUAGGUAGAACUAUAAAUCUUGAGUGUGAGAUCCUUAAAUUGAAUGUCAACUUGAACUUAAUAUAUGAAUGGGAGCCUAAUUGUCUGGUGGUUGGGUUUAGAUGGAUAACCAAUAGUUGCGGCUAGUUUUUUUUUGGACGGUAGGAUUUUAUGAUUAUAGAAUAGUUGCGGUUAGUGUAUGAGUAUAUCUUCAAUGAAAUAACCUAAUGUUUUUGAAAGCCAUAUAUUUUGAUUGUGAUUCCAUUGCAGCUUUUUCAGGGACGAAAAUCGUUGAAGUGUGGGGAGAUUUGAUGUGUUGCUAAAUACCGUCACGUUAUUUAUCUAUAUCCAUGUGCAAAAUGGAGCAAAAACGAGCUGAAACGGUAACCAAACGAGCAACCGGGAGAAAGGAUAGAAGUGCAGGGUCCUAAACUAUAAUUUCUGAAGAAAUGUAGGGGUACCGCGUCAUGAGAAAGGAUCCUAGGGUGUGUUGCACAUCGCCUAGGGUUAUAAGAACACGUGAAAUACCCUUAAUGAAAUAAGGGUAUUUAUCCUUGUGUCGUCGCUUCAGUUCUUUAUCUUUCUAUGCCAUAAGAAUAUCGCGAGGCCGGGUUCCAUUUGGAUCGCGAUACGUGAGACGUGUAUUAAACAAAACAAACGUAUUUGAGUUGGAUUUAUGUCACACCCCGAUAUUUCCACAUGUUACCGGUGGGCCCGGCUGGGAGUAUCGUGACGUAGUUGAUAUCAUCAUAGUCAAAUAUACACAGUUUAUAGCACAGCAGAAGUCUUGGUAGAAAUUACUAUUAUAAACCGAAAGUGUAAAGUACGAAUAAAAUAAUAUACAGACGGUUGUAAGAAAGGAUCCACAGGCGGAUCUAAAACAUAAUAUAAA
rnacentral:lncRNA from 1 species